UCAGAGUUAGAAGGGAAUCAAGAGAGUAUCCAGAACAAUACUUAUUUCUGAAGAUGAAGGUUCAAGGUAACAGAAAAUAGAAGCACCAGGCUCCAAGUGUCUGGUUUAGGAAUCUGCUUCUCCAACGUCUCAUCAUCCGCACUUGAUCUUCAUUGCCGAUGGGAAUGCAAAAUGGUGCAACCUGUAUGGAAGGGAUUUGGCAGCAUCUGGCAAGAGUGCACACACCUGGAAUCCGCAAACCCACUUCUAGGAAUCUAUCUCAAAGAUAAAAUGGCAAAAACACAAAGUGACCUAUGCAUGAGGCUAUUAAUUCUAGCACUGUUUGCGAGAACAAAAGCUUAGAAACAGCCCAAGUGUCCUUCAGGAUCAUAAACUAUGGCACAGCCACCAUGGAGCACCAUGCAGCUGGAAAAAAGAAAGGUGGAAGCUUUCCACACGGAAGCUUCCACAGACUAUAACCGUGUGAUCUUCUGCAUUCAUUCAGUGGAAAAAGCAAGGCGUAGGAGAAAAGUUACAAUAUGCUACUUCUGGUAUAAAAGUGGUGGUGACGGUAGGGAAUCUAUAUACACAUUUGCUUAUGUGUGGUUUUUUUUUUAAGCAAUGUGUGGCUCUCUGACUCUUACAGUUUUUGGAAACUCUGCUACUGUUUCCUGCCAGUCACUUGCUAAAAUGCGCCUGAGACUGUCAUUCUGCUUGGAUACCCUGCCGCACCCUGCUCACUGUGUUGCCAGUGUUGCCCUCUAGCACAAGUCUGUGCCUCUCCCACCAGAUUCCAGCUCUCUGUCCUUGCUUGGCUGGCUCUGUGUUCCCACAACCCUCUCUGACCUACCACUUCUAGACGAGAGCAAUGCAGAGGGCCAAAACUACAAAAUAAAUGAUGGUUUCAAAAGCAACCUAUAGGCAUUCAGGACUACUAAACUUACUAUGUAUAUAAUGUAACCUAGGGGUAUCUGGGUAGCUCAGUUGGUUAAGCAGUUAAACCUCCGACUUCGGCUCAGGUCAUGGUCUCACAGUUCAUGAGUUCUGGUCCCGCAUCAGGCUCACUGUUCUCAGUGCGGAGCCUGCUUAAGGCUCUGUCUGCACCCCCCAACCCUUCCUCACACUCUCUCACUCUUAAAAAAAAAAAGGAAACUGUAUUUUGUUGUUUCCUGUACUUAAGAACAGAAGUUCUCAGUUAAAGCAAGUGCCCUUCGGUUGGGCAAAUCACUUUCCUGGAGCAAAAAAGAUAAAGUAAGCUGACAGGCUUUCACUUAGAGAAGUGUGUAAAUUAAAGUAAGUCUAGAAUAAAUUUAUCAGAAGCCAAGCUCAUUGGUACAUGUGAAAGAAACCCUUGGAAUUCUAUUGACUUGGCAUAGUGCUGGGUCUAUAGUGAAUAUUCAGGGAAUAGUUAUUGAAUAUUUGUUGAAUUCAGAUAGCUUUUGUAAAGCUGUCUGAAAAGUAAAGUAAUGUUCAUUAGCCCAUGAAGAAACAACCUCUUAAAAUAAAUUUCUAGGUAGCUCAGCAAAAGUGGAAAGAAAUGUGAAAGAGUAAGGGAAACUUCUGGCUUGGUUUGAUAAGAGCCCUGGCUUAAUUUCAAUACACUUGGUAAGUAGAGUUUAGGCUAAUGUUGCUCUGGCCUCCAUAAUGCAGUCCAGGGAAUAACUACUAUUCCAGACACAAUAGGCGGUCAGCUUUUCAACAUCAGUGGUGUUUUUUGCCUAUAGUUGUAAUCUGUAGACACCUCGGUGGUUACAAAAGACUCCUUAGUUCCCUCCAAAUAUAUUAGUCCUUGUUAGACAUGCAAAUCUUUUCGAAUUCCAUAGGGAAAUAAAUCACCAUUAAAAAAAACCCCAGAAUUUGAAGGAUGAAAUGAAAGACAGGUAAGACAGUUCCCAGAGUCCACAUGCUGCUUUCAGAAAGCCCAAGCAAUCCUCAAAAUUCUAAAGCUAUCAGAGGUGACUGCCCUCAAAGCACACAGGGCGCCCUGUGUAAAUGUCUAGGGUGCCCCUGUCUUUCCAUCAUGGUCUGUUAUAUUCUCUUCUAAGGCACACAAGUCCUCCCAUGUCUGAGAAUAGGGUGUAUCCAAGAAGUCAAAUUGCAAAUGAAGAAUACAAUAUCAGGGUGAGAAUCUCUUUUACUUGAUGGGAUUUUAUAUUGAUUUCCCAUAUUUAGGAUUUAUUUCCAACAGUCAUCCUUCCUCCCCAAGCAAUAAUGAUUUCAAAGGAGAGAUCAAGACAGUGCAAAGAAGGGAGAAUGCUAGAAACAGGAGUUCUGAAUUAAUGAGUUUGGGAGAAGUAGACAAUCAAUCUGAAUAAUUAGGAUCAAACCCCAAGCUUUGUUUUUGCAUGGCUGUGUAGUUCUGGUCAAGGAGCUAAUUUUAAAUGAUUAGCCACUCCUGUCUUUUAAAUAGGUUCUUAAAUAAAACACUUAAUCUUGAUCUAUGAGUACAUAUGCAAAACAAGGAGAGGGGAUUGGAAUAUUCUAUGGAUAAUUUGUGAUGAAGAUGACUUCUACUUUAAACAUCUCGGUAGCAGCAAGAGUUGUUUUUCAAAAUUUGAUGUUUACGUAAUUUCUUAAGUUCCCUAUUAUCCUGCUAAAGUGAAUGAUUUAGGGUAUGGAUGCUUUAAUUAUCCAGUUUUAUUAUUAUCACAUUAAACUUUAACAUUAAUUAGAUAAGUUUUUACUUUCACUUGAUUUUGCAUUGUUUUGUUAGUUUCCUAUUAUCUGCAGAGUGAAAUUCGACAAAAAUUUAGAGGGCCACAGUGUUCUAAAUAUAAGGCAUUAUAUACAGUUAAUUAGUGUGGUCUCUGUCCCAAUAUAGGGGUAUGUACAGGAAAGAUCAAGGUAUUUUCCAAUAUUGUAAUGCUGUAAUGAAAAAGUUUGGUCUGGAAUUGUCUUCAACUUAGAUACUUUGUAGGCACAACCAUUCUUAUAUUUUCCAUAAGGCUAUUCGAUUUCCCAUCAGUCCAGAGCAACAACAAAAAUAUUAUUUAAAAAUGCCCAUUAGGAGUAAAUAGAUAUUGAUAACAAAAGGGAAAAAGAAUUUUCUGGCCUUCAUGUCUUUAUCAGGCUGACAACAUGAGUUUCUCUGAAUGACUCAUAUCUUGGCUUUUUCUUUCUAGCAACAGAGCCUGGAUCCAGAAGAACCCUCAAUUAAGAUACUAUAUCGAAAUCAGUCAUUUUGAAAAAGUAUGGCAAGAAAGAGAAUUUCUGACUGUUAAAUACAAAUGCUUUCUUUUGAAACAUUUUCUGGAUCACUGGAGUUAGUGUCUCUGACCUAAUAAUUUAGGGCUCAAUAGUCUGAUACUUUGCAGCUGACAAAAUUAGAUGUAUUAGGAUGAAGUUGCUAUAUUUCCAUAUAUACAUAUCUGCACAAAUGUAUAAAUACAGAAAUUUCUUCUGUAAGCAUGUAGAUCCAUACAUAAUUAUGAAUCUAAAAAGGCUACUUUUUGAUCAACAUCUCAGCUAUAAUAGGAUAUUUCCUUUAUUUUAUUCAUGAAGUAUCAUUUAAUGUUGACUCUGUGAAAAGUACUGUGCUUGUAGGUGGGUGGACACAAAGGUGAAAGAUAGAUGUUACAUCUGUCCUAAGGGAGGAGAAAAUUUAGAGAGAGACAAAUGUCAAGUCCACAGCAAUUCCCAGAGCAAGGCACACAGGUGAUGGUCUCCUCCCCAAACUGGCUUAUGUAACGGACAAACACAGACAGUAUCAACUUUCUAGAAGAGGGACCGGCUGACACUUGUCAUCAGAGUCGAGCUUAUUAAAUAUCGAUGGGCACUUAAGAGGAUUUUCUGAGCUAACUUUCUCUUAGUCUGGAACAUUCAGCAAAAUAAAACUCUGCCAGAGUAUAGAUUAUGCUUCAUCAUAACGCCUCUCAAAGAUCCAAGGAAGUUUACAGAAACUUAUUUUAGAAACUUGAAAAAAAAUAAAAGCUCUAGGAUUUUAUGCCCUGCUAAUUUUAUGAGCAGUAAAUGACAACUUAAAUGGUUAUGAAAUAUAGACUUUUAAAAUUAGGAACAAGAUCUAUCCUCUAAUCAGCAGCCAUAUUAAUUAGCCCAAACAUUUUAAAAUUUAUACAGAAAUCAUUCAAAAACACUCGGUACCCCGCAUUAAUUUAGUCAGGCUGCUGGUCAUGAGUGCUGGCCCUGAGGAUGUUAAGAGCUUUGUCUGUCUUGUCUUCUUCAGAAGGUUCUCUAUCACAGGACUUUUGGACCACGAUUUGUGUCCUUUGUGAGAAACUCUCGUUCAUCACUCCCGUCUUCACUUCUUGCACUUCCUCACUUCCUCCAUGAUGUAGGGCUUUAUUCUACUUACUGCUUUUCUGUUGCUGUGGUAACCAUUUACCAACUUAACAAAAUGCAAAUUUAUUAUCUGUCGAUUCUGUAGUUCAAAAGUUUGAAAGAGGUCUCACUGGGGUAAAAUUAGCGUGUUGACAGGGUUGUGUCCCUUUUAGGAGGCUCUAGGGGACAACCCAUUUCUUUGCUCGUUCCAGCUUCUCAGGGCCAAGUUCCUUGGAUCCUGGCCCCCUCCUCUGUCUUCAAAGCCAGCAACAUAUGCCUUUCUCCUUUUGUCACAAGUUCCUAUGACUGUAUUCUGAUUCCUUCUUCUACUUUUAAAGACCCUGGUGAUUACAUGGGGCCCACCUGGAUAUUCUAGGAUAAUCUCCCUAUUUUAAAGUCAGCUGAUUAGUAAUCUUAAUUCCAUUUGCAGCCACAAUUGCCUUUUACCAUAUAACAUAACAUAUUGACAUGUGCUAGGAACAUAGAUAUUUCUGGAGUGUCAUUUUGCCUAUCACAUUAUUAUAGAAGGCUAAUAAGUAUCAUUUUUUUUGAGAGAGAGAGAGAGAGAGAGCGAGAGGGCAGAGGACAGGCAGAGGGAGAGCAAGAAAGAGAAUCUUAUUCAGGUUGCACACCGGUGCAGAGCCGACAGGGAGCUAUCUCACGACCAUAUCAGGACCUGAGCUGAAAUCAAGAGUUGGAUGCUUAACCCACUGAGCCACCCAGGCACUCAGUAUCAUUCUUUUGUGCUCACUGAUUGCUUCAUGACUGUUGGUCCAUUUUCCUGACCAUUUUCUAAGGGCCUUAGGGGCAAGGCUAGUGGAUCACAGGAGUUUUUGCUACCUCACUCAUUGUAGUUAAGGGAUCUAUUGGAACAAAGCACAAAAAUGCUUAACCUGAAUGUUUACAAUACUUCUCAAAUGUCCCCCCCUUAAGUCUAGUGUCUAUCUGUGCCACCAUGACUGACUCCUCACUGAGUGUCCACGAGCUCUAAAACAUUCAAUGCAAAUCUGUUGUAAAGUGAAAUUAAUACUCUUGAGAGACAGGAUUUCAUAAAGUUAUAGGAAGUGAUGGAGGCUUGCUUGUAAGGCCACUGUGUAAGGCUACACAUGUAAGGCUACCGGCAAAUGGGAGUUUAGACCAGACAACAUCGAAGCAAGAUGAACUGGGAAGGAGACCCCUGCCUCACAGGAGAAGCCCUUGGAAAGACUGGUGAGUGUGUCAAAUAUGGCCUCUUUAUGGUCAUGCUGCACGGAGAGAAGUGAAGUGAGGAAGUGAUGUGAUGUCAUGCAAUUUGACCUGAUCAACAGGUAAUUUGUUCAUUCUUUAAGAAUCAGUAUACAGUCACAGUGCUAAUUUGCACAUUGAAAACUUUCAAAAAUGUAAAUCCUCUUAAAAAUCCUCUUGAAAUCCUCCAAUGGCUUCCUCUCGCAUUUAGAAUGACAUGCGGACUCCCUGCCUAGGCCUGGAAAGCCCCGCGUGGCGUUGCAUCUCAUACAAAGAUGAGGUCUGUCUGACCUCAUCUCCUCCACUCUCCACCUUGAUCACCAGCCUCUUGCCAAGCUCCUCCCCACUUUUAGCAUUCUCACUGGUCUCUACGCCUGCAGUGCUUGUCCUGCAGACUGCUGCAUCUCUGGCUCCUUCUUGUCAUUCAGACCUCAGUGAAAUGUUACCUCCUCAGUGAGACUUUCGUCAUCUCUCUACCCCAACUCCUUGUUUCACUUCCUGGCACGGCGCUAUCACAACUCUGAGAUUUUUCUUGUUAAUUAGAUAAUUAGCUCCAAGAGAACAAGGUAGGUGCCAAUCUGGCUUACUGCUGUAUCCUCUGUGCCCAGAACAGUGCCUGGCAGAGAGAAGGGGCUCAAUUACGGGUAACAUGCAAGAAUGUGCAAUUGGGUUUAUACAUGACUUUGUUAUGGUAUCAUUUGGGCUGGCAAACAUCUAUGUUCAAAACUGACUUUACAGUGUUGUAGAAUUUACUCUGCUCUCUGUGAACGUUUCUAAUAAAUGUCCGUAUAGCAAAUC